AGUACGCAUACGUCCUGUAUGCAACGCGAAAGUCAUCACAUCCUGUGAA
rnacentral:sRNA from 1 species